CCUACGGGUGGCAGCAGUGGGGAAUAUUGCACAAUGGGCGCAAGCCUGAUGCAGCCAUGCCGCGUGUGUGAAGAAGGCCUUCGGGUUGUAAAGCACUUUCAGCGGGGAGGAAGGCGGUGAGGUUAAUAACCUCAUCGAUUGACGUUACCCGCAGAAGAAGCACCGGCUAACUCCGUGCCAGCAGCCGCGGUAAUACGGAGGGUGCAAGCGUUAAUCGGAAUUACUGGGCGUAAAGCGCACGCAGGCGGUCUGUCAAGUCGGAUGUGAAAUCCCCGGGCUCAACCUGGGAACUGCAUUCGAAACUGGCAGGCUAGAGUCUUGUAGAGGGGGGUAGAAUUCCAGGUGUAGCGAUGAAAUGCGUAGAGAUCUGGAGGAAUACCGGUGGCGAAGGCGGCCCCCUGGACAAAGACUGACGCUCAGGUGCGAAAGCGUGGGGAGCAAACAGGAUUAGAUAACCGGGUAGUC
rnacentral:rRNA from 1 species